GCCGGACGCGGUAGCGCACGCCUGUAAUCCCAGCUGCUUGGAGGCUGAGGCUGGAGGAUGGCAAGUUCAAAGCCAGCCUCAG
rnacentral:sRNA from 1 species